CCGGGACGGAGCGUGCGCAGAAGGUCAGAUACACUGUGCCCUCUUCGGGGUAGAAUCAGCCUAGAACGUUGACAGGAGUGUUAAAGCAAAAUCUGCUGCUUUGCCUGCUUCCGGUAUGACCAAACUUCACACUAGAGUGGCUCUACCGUACCGGUUUGCAUUUCCACCAUCGAUGUCUGAGAGAUUCUGUUACUCCAUAUCCUCACCAGCAUUUGGUGUUGUCAGUGUUCCAGAUUUUGGCCAUUCUAACAGGAGCUCAUAAUAGAGGACUCCCUUCCAAUUCCACCAUAUACACAGCAUCACCUUCUUUGGAUGAAGAUUGGCCUUUGGUGUGGUUGGUGAUGGUUCAUUUCACUUGCCCCACAAUCUCUUCCGUUACACAUUAUUGUACAGUAUCCACUUUUCAUCGCCCACCACAAUUUGUUUUAAAAAUGGAACGUUUUCGUUAUAUUUAAGUAGAGAAUCGCAUGUGGAAAUAUGGUCAAGAAGGUUUUUUUCACUUAACUUACGUGGAACCCAAACAUCAAAGCUAUGAAUAUAACCAAGCUGGUGCAAAUGAUUUUCAAUGCUUGAUUUGGGUAUUUUGAGUAUGUCGACUAUCUCCCAUGUGGUAUAGCCACGUUGAUUGUUCUCAAUUAAUGUCUCAAUUUGAUCGCUAUCAACGUCAACUGGUCUACCCGACGGUGGAGCACCAUACAGUGAGAAAUCUCCAGCAUGAAACUUUGCAAGCCACUUUCAACACGUUCAAUCAGUCACAGCACCUUCUCCAUACACUGCACAAAUCUUUUUUGCAUUUCAGUUGCGUUUUUACCUUUCUUGAAAUAAUAAAGCAUAAUAUGCUGAAAAUGUUGCUAUUUUUCUUCCAACUUCAGUAUUAAAAUGGCUACACAAAAAUUCACCAAUUUUGAUAAGUUUUUUUUUUAAUGCAUGCUGAUAUGCUGUCACAAUACAAUCUAACAAAAUUGUUUCAAAUGAAGUUAAAGACAAGCACUACUAGAGCCAUCAUACAGAAAAAAAUCAGACUCUUUGGCCAACCCGGUAGUUCCCUGUGCUAUACACUAGGUUCUUGUUUAUCUGUUUUAUAUAUAGUAGUGUGUAUCUGUUAAACCCAAACUCCUAAUUUAUCCCUCCCCACUCUUCGCCCUUUGGUAACCAUAAGUUGUUUUCUAUGUCUGUGAGUCU